rnacentral:rRNA from 1 species
AUUGAACGCUGGCGGCAUGCCUUACACAUGCAAGUCGAACGGCAGCAUGAUCUAGCUUGCUAGAUUGAUGGCGAGUGGCGCACGGGUGAGUAAUACAUCGGAACGUGCCCUGUAGUGGGGGAUAACUAGUCGAAAGAUUAGCUAAUACCGCAUACGACCUGAGGGUGAAAGUGGGGGACCGCAAGGCCUCAUGCUAUAGGAGCGGCCGAUGUCUGAUUAGCUAGUUGGUGAGGUAAAGGCUCACCAAGGCGACGAUCAGUAGCUGGUCUGAGAGGACGAUCAGCCACACUGGAACUGAGACACGGCCCAGACUCCUACGGGAGGCAGCAGUGGGGAAUUUUGGACAAUGGGCGAAAGCCUGAUCCAGCAAUGCCGCGUGUGUGAAGAAGGCCUUCGGGUUGUAAAGCACUUUUGUCCGGAAAGAAAUGGCUCUGGUUAAUACCUGGGGUCGAUGACGGUACCGGAAGAAUAAGGACCGGCUAACUACGUG